UACGUAGGGUGCGAGCGUUGUUCGGAAUUACUGGGCGUAAAGCGCACGUAGGCGGAUUGUUAAGUCAGGGGUGAAAUCCCGGGGCUCAACCCCGGAACUGCCUUUGAUACUGGCAUUCUCGAGUCCGGAAGAGGUGAGUGGAAUUCCGAGUGUAGAGGUGAAAUUCGUAGAUAUUCGGAGGAACACCAGUGGCGAAGGCGGCUCACUGGUCCGGAACUGACGCUGAGGUGCGAAAGCGUGGGGAGCAAACAGG
rnacentral:rRNA from 1 species